GGUAAAACGCACAGGAAAAAAGAAAAUCCUCCUUGAGGAGAGGAGAGACAGAGAGAGGGGCCAGACGGGCAGAGGGUCUGGUCUUUUGCUUGCGUAACAAUCAAGAAUAAUUAAGCUCUCUCUCUGUCCUUCUCCUCUCUGAUGAGAUCUUUCAUGUCAGCAUGGCGCAAUCAGAACAACAACAACAACACCACAACCAACCACCUGCAAAGCCAACCCAAUCGUCCAACCCUUUCAACCCACAGAUGACGACGAGCCCAAUCUCAGUCUCAGCUCCAAACCCAUCAUGGUUCUCCCCAAAAAGGUUGCUCGUAAUGCUCUGUACAAUUAACAUGAUAAAUUAUGUCGAUCGAGGAGCAAUAGCGAGCAAUGGUGUCAACGGUAGUAUUGGGAUUUGUGAUGAUAGCGGAAUUUGCAGCGCGGGUAGCGGAAUUCAGGGAGAUUUUAAAUUGAGCAAUUUUCAAGAUGGUGUUCUUUCAUCUGCAUUUAUGGUUGGUCUUCUUAUGGCGUCACCCAUCUUUGCGUCCUUGGCAAAGAGCCACAAUCCUUUUAGGCUGAUUGGAGUUGGAUUAUCUGUUUGGACAUUUGCCACAGCUGGGUGUGGUAGUUCAAUUGAUUUUUGGACCAUUGCAAUAUGUCGUAUGCUGGUCGGAGUUGGUGAGGCAUCUUUCAUAAGUCUUGCAGCGCCGUUCAUUGAUGACCAUGCUCCUGCACCUCAGAAAACAGCAUGGCUUGCAAUGUUUUACAUGUGUAUACCAACUGGAAUUGCUGUGGGCUAUGUUUAUGGCGGAUUUGUGGGAGACAAUUUCAGUUGGCGAUAUGCAUUCUGGGGAGAGGCAUUUUGUAUGCUUCCAUUUGCUGUCUUGGCUUUUGCGAUGAAUCCAUUGCAGUUGAAAGGUUUUGCUCCUGCUGAAUCAAGAAAGUUUUUGGAACCUAAUGAAACAACUAGUCCUUUAAUUGAAGGUUCAGAUGACUCAAACAUAAAUAGUUGCGUGAUAGUUUCCUCUGAUAAAGCUUCUAGGUCAAGCCCUGCAUCCAAAUCUUUGAACCAACUCUCAAGAUUCUCAGAAGAUAUGAAAGAACUUUUGCAUGAUAAAGUUUAUGUUGUUAAUAUUUUAGGUUAUGUGUCAUACAACUUUGUCAUUGGAGCCUACUCAUACUGGGGGCCAAAGGCUGGUUAUAGCAUUUAUCGUAUGAGUAAUCCAGAUUUGUUGUUUGGUGGUAUUACAAUUGUUUGUGGAAUUCUGGGGACGUUAGCUGGAGGGCUCAUCCUUGACUCAGUGAAUGCCACAAUUAAUAACGCUUUUAAGCUUCUCUCUGGAGCAACAAUUCUAGGUGCAAUCUUUUGCUUCAGUGCCUUCUGUGUAAGGAGCUUGUAUUUUUUUGUAGUUCUUUUCUCAAUGGGGGAGCUACUUGUGUUUGCCACACAGGCUCCGGUUAAUUAUGUGUCUCUGCGAUGCGUGAAACCAAGUCUUAGGCCAUUGUCUAUGGCUGUCUCAACUGUUUCAAUCCACAUCUUUGGUGAUGUUCCUUCCUCACCUCUUGCUGGAAUCCUCCAGGGAUCUUCAUUAGCAAUUCAGACAAAUUUAAUGAAGAUGGUAAGGAAGAAGUCUCCACAGUUGAUAGAGCCACAAAAAAGCCUUUGUUUGAAGAGAACACAAUUGAGGGAGCCCAAGACUCCGAUGAAGCAUAAGUUUACUUUAGUGUAUUCAAGUUGCUUUUGCAUCUCGAAGCCACUAAGCGGGUUUGGAGUGGCUAAAGUUUUGGAUUCUGGGCACCCAGAAUUUAAGGAAGGUGACUUGGUUUGGGGAACAACAGGAUGGGAAGAGUAUAGUCUCAUCACAGAACCAGAACAGUUCUUUAAAAUCCACCACACUGAUGUGCCCCUGUCCUAGUACACUGGCCUUCUUGGUAUGCCGGGUAUGACUGCCUUUGCCGGCUUUCAUGAAGUCUGUUCGCCUAAGAAAGGAGAUCGCGUGUUCAUUUCUGCAGCAGCUGGUGCAGUUGGCCAGCUUGUUGGGCAAUUUGCAAAGUUGAUGGGGUGUUAUGUUGUUGGAAGUGUUGGAAGUAAAGAGAAGGUCGAUCUACUAAAGAACAAGCUAGGGUUUGAUGAGGCUUUUAAUUAUAAAGAAGAGCAAGACCUUGAUGCUGCUUUGAAAAGGCAUUUCCCUGAAGGCAUUGACAUUUAUUUCGAGAAUGUUGGAGGAAAAAUGCUGGAUGCUGUGCUUCUUAACAUGAGACCUCAUGGUCAAAUUUCUGUGUGUGGAUUGAUCUCACAUUACAAUCUCAACCAGCCACAAGGCUUUAGCAAUCUUCUCUCUCUAAUCUACAAUCGGAUCCGUAUGGAAGGCUUUGUCGUUUUCGAUUAUUUCCAUCUGUAUCCCAAUUUCUUGGACAUGGUCAUACCAUACAUCAGAGAAGGAAAGAUAGUAUAUCUGGAAGACAUAAGUCAAGGCCUUGGGAGUGCUCCAGCAGCUCUUGUGGGACUUUUUAGUGGCAGAAAUGUUGGAAAACAAGUAGUUUUGGUUUCCAAUGAAUGAUUGGCCCUCUUGUAUAUAUUACUUCUUUAGCCAUGCUUUUCAUUGGAGAACCUGAUGUAACUGCAUUUUGAUGAUUCACUAUUAAAUUGUGCUUAUAUAUAUAUAU